rnacentral:lncRNA from 1 species
CAAGGAUGAAUUUGUCACCAAUAGUCCUCUACAUAGUCCAACUGUGCCAGAACGUAGAAUGGGUCCUGGUCUUUCUCUUACAUGGCAUAACAUAACAGUCCAACUGUGCCAGAACGUAGAAUGGGUCCCACUGGUCUUACUUUCCAUACCGUACAUAUCAUAUCGUCACAUCAUAGGUCGAGGACUAUGGAUCAUCCAACAUUCAUCCACA